rnacentral:rRNA from 1 species
GACGAACGCUGGCGGCGUGCUUAACACAUGCAAGUCGAACGGAAAGGCCCUGCUUUUGUGGGGUGCUCGAGUGGCGAACGGGUGAGUAACACGUGAGUAGCCUACCCUUGACUUUGGGAUAACUUCAGGAAACUGGGGCUAAUACCGGAUAGGAGCUCCUGCUGCAUGGUGGGGGUUGGAAAGUUUCGGCGGUUGGGGAUGGACUCGCGGCUUAUCAGCUUGUUGGUGGGGUAGUGGCUUACCAAGGCUUUGACGGGUAGCCGGCCUGAGAGGGUGACCGGCCACAUUGGGACUGAGAUACGGCCCAGACUCCUACGGGAGGCAGCAGUGGGGAAUAUUGCACAAUGGGCGGAAGCCUGAUGCAGCAACGCCGCGUGCGGGAUGACGGCCUUCGGGUUGUAAACCGCUUACGCCUGUGACGAAGCGUGAGUGACGGUAAUGGGUAAAGAAGCACCGGCUAACUACGUG